rnacentral:rRNA from 1 species
GAUGAACGCUGGCGGCGUGCCUAAUACAUGCAAGUCGAACGCUGGAGAUCUAGCUUGCUAGAUCGAAGGAGUGGCGAACGGGUGAGUAAUACAUAAGCAACCUACCCACGAAGACUGGGAUAAUCUCUGGAAACGGGGACUAAUACCGGAUAGGUAAUCUGAAGGCAUCUUCUGGUUAUUAAAGGUUAAAAACACUGGUGGAUGGGCUUAUGGCGCAUUAGUUAGUUGGUGAGGUAACGGCCCACCAAGACGAUGAUGCGUAGCCGGCCUGAGAGGGUGAACGGCCACAUUGGGACUGAGACACGGCCCAGACACCUACGGGAGGCAGCAGUAGGGAAUUUUCGGCAAUGGGGGCAACCCUGACCGAGCAACGCCGCGUGAGUGAAGACGGCCUUCGGGAUGUAAAGCUCUGUUGUAAGGGAAGAACGGUAGAUAGAGAAUAUCUAAGUGACGGUACCUUACCAGAAAGCCACGGCUAACUACGUG